rnacentral:rRNA from 1 species
GACGAACGCUGGCGGCGUGCUUAACACAUGCAAGUCGAACGGAAAGGCCCUGCUUUUGUGGGGUGCUCGAGUGGCGAACGGGUGAGUAACACGUGAGUAACCUGCCCUUGACUUUGGGACAACCUCAGGAAACUGGGGCUAAUACCGGAUAGGAGCUCCUGCUGCAUGGUGGGGGUUGGAAAGUUUCGGCGGUUGGGGAUGGACUCGCGGCUUAUCAGCUUGUUGGUGGGGUAGUGGCUUACCAAGGCUUUGACGGGUAGCCGGCCUGAGAGGGUGACCGGCCACAUUGGGACUGAGAUACGGCCCAGACUCCUACGGGAGGCAGCAGUGGGGAAUAUUGCACAAUGGGCGGAAGCCUGAUGCAGCAACGCCGCGUGCGGGAUGACGGCCUUCGGGUUGUAAACCGCUUUCGCCUGUGACGAAGCGUGAGUGACGGUAAUGGGUAAAGAAGCACCGGCUAACUACGUGCCAGCAGCCGCGGUGAUACGUAGGGUGCGAGCGUUGUCCGGAUUUAUUGGGCGUAAAGGGCUCGUAGGUGGUUGAUCGCGUCGGAAGUGUAAUCUUGGGGCUUAACCCUGAGCGUGCUUUCGAUACGGGUUGACUUGAGGAAGGUAGGGGAGAAUGGAAUUCCUGGUGGAGCGGUGGAAUGCGCAGAUAUCAGGAGGAACACCAGUGGCGAAGGCGGUUCUCUGGGCCUUUCCUGACGCUGAGGAGCGAAAGCGUGGGGAGCGAACAGGCUUAGAUACCCUGGUAGUCCACGCUGUAAACGGUGGGUACUAGGUGUGGGGUCCAUUCCACGGGUUCCGUGCCGUAGCUAACGCUUUAAGUACCCCGCCUGGGGAGUACGGCCGCAAGGCUAAAACUCAAAGGAAUUGACGGGGCCCCGCACAAGCGGCGGAGCAUGCGGAUUAAUUCGAUGCAACGCGUAGAACCUUACCUGGGUUUGACAUGGAUCGGGAGUGCUCAGAGAUGGGUGUGCCUCUUUUGGGGUCGGUUCACAGGUGGUGCAUGCCUGUCGUCAGCUCGUGUCGUGAGAUGCUGGGUUAAGUCCCGCAACGAGCGCAACCCUUGUUCACUGUUGCCAGCACGUUAUGGUGGGGACUCAGUGGAGACCGCCGGGGUCAACUCGGAGGAAGGUGGGGAUGACGUCAAGUCAUCAUGCCCCUUAUGUCCAGGGCUUCACGCAUGCUACAAUGGCUGGUACAGAGAGUGGCGAGCCUGUGAGGGUGAGCGAAUCUCGGAAAGCCGGUCUCAGUUCGGAUUGGGGUCUGCAACUCGACCUCAUGAAGUCGGAGUCGCUAGUAAUCGCAGAUCAGCAACGCUGCGGUGAAUACGUUCCCGGGGCU